AUUCAGUUUGCUGCAUUUUCUUUUCUGACUUUGGCAUAAAUUUCCUAUGGGUCUUUACAAAAAAACAGAGAAAGUAAUUUCUGAAGAUUGGUCACAUCAAUGUAAUUACCUGAGUGUGUUACAGGACAUAGAUGCAGAAGAAAGUAGGAAUAAUGGAAAUCAAGGAUGUCAGCUUCUUGGACUCAGCAAAGUGAAAUUGGAAUCUCCUACAGGCUCAUCCUGACAGUCAGACCAGAUGGACCAUACUAGCUCCAACAAAGAGUACAAAAGAAUCAGAAAUUCUUAGUAAGCAAAAGGAAAAAAAAGUAUUGACAGACGAAAUGGCCCUAGAGAAAGCAGGAAAAAUGAGAAGAAUACUACAUAUGAAAGGACAAAAUCCAGGAGAAAAGCUUAGGAUUACAGUUUCCAUUUGUUGUUCCUUACAGAGCUGGUAACAUAUCCAGGACAAGGUAUGAACAGACUAUUACCUGAUAUGCGAGCAUGUGUUAAGAAAAAGGUGAGAACAUCACCUGCCUGACAAGCAAUCAGUUACACAACACAAUGAUGAAUUCCACUGUGUAAAACAAUACAUUGAGAAAAAAAGAUAUUGGACAAAUCCAC
rnacentral:lncRNA from 1 species